rnacentral:rRNA from 1 species
AGUGAACGCUGGCGGUAGGCCUAACACAUGCAAGUCGAACGGCAGCACAGUAAGAGCUUGCUCUUACGGGUGGCGAGUGGCGGACGGGUGAGGAAUACAUCGGAAUCUACUUUUUCGGGGGGGAUAACGUAGGGAAACUUACGCUACUACCGCAUACGACCUACGGGUGAAAGCAGGGGAUCUUCGGACCUUGCGCGAUUGAAUGAGCCGAUGUCGGAUUAGCUAGUUGGCGGGGUAAAGGCCCACCAAGGCGACGAUCCGUAGCUGGUCUGAGAGGAUGAUCCGCCACACUGGAACUGAGACACGGUCCCGACUCCUAAGGGAGGCAGCAGUGGGGAAUAUUGGACAAUGGGCGCAAGCCUGAUCCAGCCAUACCGCGUGGGUGAAGAAGGCCUUCGGGUUGUAAAGCCCUUUUGUUGGGAAAGAAAAGCAGCAGGUUAAUACCCCGCUGUUCUGACGGUACCCAAAGAAUAAGCACCGGCUAACUUCGUG